rnacentral:misc_RNA from 1 species
AAGUCGUAACAAGGUCUCCGUAGGUGAACCUGCGGAGGGAUCAUUAACACGUUUCCAAACGUUACCAACCAAACGCGAACUUAUGAAAAAAAAAACCCGACCUGGAAGAAAAGUAAUCGUUUAGUUCUAUUAGUGAUGGGCUCUUUCACGGAGCGAUAGAAUUGAACUUACAUAGCUCGACUAUGAAGAUGACUUUUCUCUCAGGUUUAACUCCAUUCUUUCCAUCACAGGAAUAAACAAACCCCUUUCACCCCCUAUGAUAAUUGACUGAAAUACCAUUUGACUGGGAGAAAUCCUGUUAAAUGAUUAAAAAAACUAAAAGCACAACUCUUAGCAACGGAUAUCUUGGUUCUC